GGAGGGGCGGCCGUAGAGGUGUUAAGUUGUAGCCUUAGUUAUGGGAUUGUUAGUCUCCCCCUCUAUA
rnacentral:tRNA from 1 species